ACACUCUUGGUGUUGUGGAAUCCUCAGCCUACAGGAAGAGCUUUAAAUGAUCACCACUCUUUGGUCUCACUUACCUCUUGUAAUGUUGUGCAGGAAUGCAAACCGUGUAUUGCAGUUUGGAUAAAAGCACAGGCCAGCCAGGACACAACAUCUCAAGCAAACAAGAAAUGGCAUUUCCAGCUCCCCCUGCUCACAAAGGAACACAUUUCUUCACCACCCCCAGCAGCACUCGUGCCCGCUAGCACCAGAAGAAGAAAUCUGAUGAUCAUGCCGCUGCUCGGGUCAGUAGCAUGUUACACUGCCUACGUUUUCUUUUGAGCUCUCUAAAAUGUGUUUUGCCUUACCAUUGGCAGUGUUCCUAAAACACUGAUGAGACUGCAAUUACUAAGCACUUUAUAGCUCUAGUCUGUAUAAGUUAGGUGGGUUUUUCUGUGAAUUUUGCAUGAAAUUUUUGUAACAGGUGUGUAAGAAAUGCCUGAUCCAGUGAAGAAAAUACCAACUGAUAUAUUUGCUUUUCAGCAUAUAUACAGAGUUUAAUUUAGCAUAGAGAAGCAACCGAGAAUCAAGUAUUGUUAUGGUAAAACACUUCCUUUCAUCUGGAGUUAUAUGUGAUCCCAUAAUAAAUCCAAAUGUGCAUGAUUGUUAGUGAAAAUUUUAAUUAACACUGUGGCUAGUACUGAGUUUCAGUCUCUGCCCUUAUCUCAGUAUAUUGGGUUUUGUGUAACAUGAGCAUU